rnacentral:rRNA from 1 species
GUACACGCUGUGACUAGCAUAUCAAUAAGCGGAGGAAAAGAAACUAACAAGGAUUCCCCUAGUAACGGCGAGUGAAGCGGGAAGAGCUCAAAUUUGAAAUCUUAAAGGGUUUCCCUUUACGAAUUGUAGUUUAAAGAAGUGUUUUCUGUUGAGGUUUUGGUAAAAGUUCUUUGGAAUAGGACAUCAUAGAGGGCGAGAAUCCCGUAUUUGACCUUUACUUUCAACUUUGUGAUACACUUUCAAAGAGUCGGAUUGUUUGGGAAUGCAGUCCAAAAUGGGUGGUAAAUUUCAUCUAAAGUUAAAUAUUGGCGAGAGACCGAUAGCGAACAGGUACCGUGAGGGAAAGAUGAAAAGAACUUUGAAAAGAGAGUUAAACAGUACGUGAAAUUGUCAAAAGGGAAGCGUUUGACACCAGUGUUGUUUUUCUGAAAAUCAAUUAAAGAACUGUUUAUGCUAAGUUGUUUAGACUUUAUCAGCUAUCUGUUUAGUUUUGAGCUUUUCUUUAAUGCACUUUUCAGUUAACAAGUCAACAUCAAUUUCUUUUGCUGUAAAAAAGCUUGAGGAAGGUGGCUUGAGAUUCGUCUUAAGUGUUUAUAGCCUCUUGCCUAUGCAGUCGGAGAGAUUGAGGUCUGCAGCGUAGAUCCUUCGGGGCUAAAUGCAUUUGUGCUAAGUUAUAGCAUUUUAUAGACAACUUGUUGACUAUGAUUUGUCUUGUAGCUUACUCGCUUAUGUUAUUUUACCUACGCUUAGGAUGUUGAAGAUGUAGCACAUCAU